rnacentral:lncRNA from 1 species
CACACACACAUCAACAUGUUGCUUGAAGCACUUUGUGUUUAUUGCUGCUUAAACGCUCGAGCUAAAUGCUCUUACAUAGUAAAGAAUAAAUAUACUCUACUUAUUCCAAGAUCUGAACCUUUAAGAUCUUGGUGUGAAGAUGAAACACCCAACCUGCAUAAAACAGGGCGGAGUAUUUAAAAGUUCUCUUGAAUAUUGUCACUCAAUAACAUUCGUGUUAUCAAUUCCUUUACAGAUUAUUAAUACGAUAAUCUAAAACACACCCCUGGGAAAACCGUUCUUCACUACAAUGUAUAAAUGUUCACGUUCGUAUUUUACGCAUUCGCCUAAAUAGACAAGUUUUUAGACACCUCGAAUUGCAUGC